rnacentral:rRNA from 1 species
UGCAAGUCGAACGGGGUCCACCGAGUAGCAAUACGAGGGAAGACCUAGUGGCGAACGGGUGCGUAACACGUGAGAAACCAACCCCGGUCUUUGGGAUAACAGGCGGAAACGCCUGCUAAUACCGAAUAACGUCGUUUCCUCGCAUGGGGAGAUGACGAAAGGGCUACCGGAUCGGGACGGUCUCGCGGCCUAUCAGCUUGUUGGGGAGGUAACGGCUCACCAAGGCAUCGACGGGUAGCUGGUCUGAGAGGAUGAUCAGCCACACUGGGACUGAGACACGGCCCAGACUCCUACGGGAGGCAGCAGUGGGGAAUCUUGCGCAAUGGGUGAAAGCCUGACGCAGCAACGCCGCGUGCGGGAUGAAGGCCUUCGGGUUGUAAACCGCUUUUAACAGGAACGAAAAUGACGGUACCGGCAGAGUAAGGUGCGGCCAACUACGUGCCAGCAGCCGCGGUGACACGUAGGCACCAAGCGUUGUCCGGAUUUAUUGGGCGUAAAGAGCUCGUAGGCGGUUCAGGUAGUCGGGUGUGAAAACUCUGGGCUCAACCCAGAGACGCCACCCGAUACUCCUGUGACUAGAGUUCGGUAGGGGAGCGGGGAAUUCCUAGUGUAGCGGUGAAAUGCGCAGAUAUUAGGAGGAACACCGGUGGCGAAAGCGCCGCUCUGGGCCGAUACUGACGCUGAGGAGCGAAAGCGUGGG